CCUGGGGUGGCUCCCAGACUCCUGAACCUGCGCAAACAAGUGACUCAGCCCUGUUCUCGAUUGCUGAUGGAGCCACCUGAGGUCACAAUGACUGUCUUGACUUUUGGAUCAGAAAACUUCAUCCUGGAACCUCCCCAUUACUCUGAAAUAAAGAACAUUUUCAUCAGAACUUGGGAAGUGCAGCAUCUAGCCAAGAUCUCCAAACAAACACCAUUUUCUGAUUGAAAGAAAUAAAGCAAAUGCUUCCCAGAGCUUUCUGCUGUAAGGAAUUAGAAUUUACAAAUUCAGAUACCAUUCAUUAUAAAAGGAAAAGUGCA
rnacentral:lncRNA from 1 species